rnacentral:lncRNA from 1 species
CUUGAUGAUUUGCUCCUCCCCAAAACUAUAAAUCACAUAUAAAGGUGCAUGAUCUGACCCUUGUCUUACCAAGUGUGUACCUUUCUAGAGGCUAAGGUUUUUAUAAAUUUAUAAUUACAAAACACUCUAUCUAGCCUCUUGAAGAUGUAGGCACCUUUUAUUCUACCAUUCUACUUGUGAAUUUGCUUCCAGUAUACUUUAACUAUAUCAAAGCACAGUUAUUUACACAUAAACUAAAAUUCAUUGACUAAUGUUGAAUAAACUCUAGCCCUCCUUACUUUUUAUCAUUAUUUAAUAUCAUAUUGAAAUCUUCACCUACCAUCCAACACGUCUAGUUGUCAUCAACUAAACAUUUCUAUUCCUCCCACGGCUUUAAUUUUUCUAAAGCAUCACAAUUUUAUAGACGAUAUAAUUAAAAAAUAAAUAUUGUACUUCCUAAAUUUCAUGGCUAGAUGUUCUGUACUUGAUCACAUCUUCAGUCCAACUAUCAUCCCAUGUCACCUAGAUUCUUAUGGCAUAAUUACAGUAUGAAUUUUGUAAUCUCAGUCUCCUCUUGUAUUGAUAUAACUCUUGUGGGCCUUGAAAAGGUUCUAUAUGAACUAUGAAAUUGUACUUGUGUCUUCUAUGCAAGUCUAUCAGUCUUUCAAAAGCAUUUUGAGAUUUAACAGGCCUUAUAUUCAAGAAAAUUACUUUCCAAAUCAUGAUAAAGAUCAUCUGAUUUAUCUUUGUUGCUCUUUGUUUUAACUUGAAGAAGGAAUAAAGGCUGAUUUUUAAUUUUAUUAACACCACUCUCCUAAUUUUUAAUUUGUCUUAGGGUCCAAUCCCCAUCCUUUGUACUUAUAUUCUCCUCUAUUUCUUCAUCCUUCUCUGUAUCUCUUCUAUGUUGCUUUUCUUCCUUGGUGAUUUUCUAUAGAUCAGGAAUGAAUUUGUCUUAGUUAUCAUCAAUCUUUACUUGUUUGCCUGAAGAUUUUUUCUUUUUCUCCCCCUUCUUCUUCUCUUGCUUCCCCUCCUUUCUAUUUACUGCACUGUUAUUUCUUUGUGCAUCACCUUCAUUCUCAUUAUUUCCUUAUUUUUCCGUAGUUUGUAACUCAAUUAUAAUAGGCAUGUCCUCAUUUUUCUUUGUAUGAUUGAUUCCUUCUUCUUUGCUCAUUGUGUCACUGUCCUAUGUGCCUUUCUCCUUUUCUUUCAAUGUUUCCUCCACCAAUUUUUUGGAUUUUUAUUUCCCUCUUCACCUUUAGACUGUUUGCCUAGUAUAGCAUAUGUUUCUCCAUUAUUUCCUAAUGCAUCAAACUUGUUACCAAUGCUUACCUCAGUGGUCCCUUGUUGAAUAUUUUUUCUAUUUCAAGUCUGCUCAAACUUUUCUUUCCCAUAUCUUUUCCUUCUCCUGCCUUUUUAUUCUUCUACUCUUUGAAUUGCUCCUACUCCUUAUUUUUUUCAUUCCUAUCUUUUGAUUUUGGUUUUUUUGACCAUCUUAUAUUUUUUCUCCCUUUCUCUCCUUCUCCUUUUCUUCUUCCUCAUCCUCUUCUUUGUCCUUCUUUGGGUAUGAUUCGGGAUAAAUUAUAUAAUACCAUUUCUUACUAUGUCCUUGGAUUCUAUAAUUAGUACAGUACUUUGGUACAUAGUCAUAUUUCAUUCUCACUCACUCUCAUUUAUUUCCCCUAGUUACUUUUUUAACCCUUGAUGUAUCAUGGUUUCAUGGAACUGUUAAUGCUUAAAAUGAUGAAAAUAUUCAAAUACUUAAGCUAUUUUGUUAUAUAUGAUGUGUGUUUUGUCUAUGUUGCAGGAGAAUUAGGUUGGAAAUGUAAGUUGAUCAGAAUAAGAUGAAAAAGGCUCUAAAAAUAAAAGUCAUAGACUAGACUAUGAGUCGUUGCGUGACUCUAUGACUCAUAGCCCAAGUCGUAAGGAUAACUAUAAGGACCACUGAAUCAAGGAUUAAAGUUAAGGAUGGCUACAGCUCAUUGGUUUGAUAAUAAGUCAUAUUGUGGAGUCAAUCUGAGAAAAUUUGUUAAAGUCCUGAAGAUAUACAAGUUGAAGCCCAAGUGAAAAUAAUAGGUGACCACAAGUCGUCAUGAUAGACCAUGACUCGUAAGGAAAAAUUGAGUUGAUAACAGUGAGGAAUGUUUUAAAAAGUGAAAAUCCACUUGAGUGACAACGAGUCUGGCCAAUGACUUGUAUGAUCUUAUAAUGAGUCAUCAUUACUAAGUGUAGAAUAGAGCAAAUGGAACUGACAAUGAGUCAUUGUUAGUCCAAACGACUCAUUUCCUGAGGCA